rnacentral:rRNA from 1 species
UAGGGAAUCUUCGGCAAUGGGGGCAACCCUGACCGAGCAACGCCGCGUGAGUGAAGAAGGUUUUCGGAUCGUAAAGCUCUGUUGUAAGAGAAGAACGAGUGUGAGAGUGGAAAGUUCACACUGUGACGGUAACUUACCAGAAAGGGACGGCUAACUACGUGCCAGCAGCCGCGGUAAUACGUAGGUCCCGAGCGUUAUCCGGAUUUAUUGGACGUAAAGCGAGCGCAGGCGGUUAGAUAAGUCUGAAGUUAAAGGCUGUGGCUUAACCAUAGUACGCUUUGGAAACUGUUUAACUUGAGUGCAGAAGGGGAGAGUGGAAUUCCAUGUGUAGCGGUGAAAUGCGUAGAUAUAUGGAGGAACACCGGUGGCGAAAGCGGCUCUCUGGUCUGUAACUGACGCUGAGGCUCGAAAGCGUGGGGAGCAAACAGGAUUAGAUACCCUGGUAGUCCACGCCGUNNCGAUGAGUGCUAGGUGUUGGGUCCUUUCCGGGACUCAGUGCCGCAGCUAACGCAUUAAGCACUCCGCCUGGGGAGUACGACCGCAAGGUU